rnacentral:rRNA from 1 species
GAUGAACGCUGGCGGCGUGCCUAAUACAUGCAAGUCGAGCGAACAGACGAGGAGCUUGCUCCUUUGACGUUAGCGGCGGACGGGUGAGUAACACGUAGGUAACCUACCUAUAAGACUGGUAUAACUUCGGGAAACCGGAGCUAAUACCGGAUAAUAUUUCGAACCGCAGGGUUCGAUAGUGAAAGAUGGCUUUGCUAUCACUUAUAGAUGGACCUGCGCCGUAUUAGCUAGUUGGUAAGGUAACGGCUUACCAAGGCAACGAUACGUAGCCGACCUGAGAGGGUGAUCGGCCACACAGGAGCUGAGACGCGGCCCAGACUCCUACGGGAGGCAGCAGUAGGGAAUCUUCCGCAAUGGGCGAAAGCCUGACGGAGCAACGCAGCGUGAGUGAUGAAGGUCUUCGGAUCGUAAAACUCUGUUAUUAGGGAAGAACAAACGUGUAAGUAACUGUGCACGUCUUGACGGUACCUAAUCAGAAAGCCACGGCUAACUACGU